rnacentral:rRNA from 1 species
UGCGUAGGCGGAUUAAUAAGUCAGUGGUGAAAACCUGCAGCCUAACUGCAGACCUGCCAUUGAUACUGUUAGUCUUGAGUACGGUCAAGGUAGGCGGAAUGUGUAAUGUAGCGGUGAAAUGCUUAGAUAUUACACAGAACACCGAUUGCGAAGGCAGCUUACUGGGCCAUUACUGACGCUGAGGCACGAAAGCGUGGGGAGCGAACAGGAUUAGAUACCCUGGUAGUCC